AGAAUCAACGCUGGCGGCGUGCCUAACACAUGCAAGUCGCACGAGAAAGGGGAGCAAUCCCUGAGUAAAGUGGCGCACGGGUGAGUAACACGUGAAUAAUCUACCUCCGAGUGGGGAAUAACUGAGAGAAAUCUUAGCUAAUACCGCAUAACACUUACGAGUCAAAGCAGCAAUGCGCUUGGAGAGGAGUUCGCGGCCGAUUAGUUAGUUGGCGGGUAAUGGCCCACCGAGACGAUGAUCGGUA
rnacentral:rRNA from 1 species